rnacentral:tRNA from 1 species
GUCAGGAUGGCCAAGUGGUCUAAUGUGCCAAACUCAUGUUCUGGUCCUCGUGAGAGGGUGUGGGUUCAAAUCCCACUUCAGACA